rnacentral:rRNA from 1 species
CCCUUAGAUGUCCUGGGCCGCACGCGUGCUACACUGAACGGUUCAAUGGGUGAGGUAGUGCGAAAGCAUGACCCAAUCUCAAAAUCCGUUCGUGCUGGGGAUAGAAGCUUGCAAUUCUCCUUCUUGAACGAGGAAUACCUUGUAAGCGCGAGUCAUCAUCUCGCGCUGAAUACGUCCCUGCCCUUUGUACACACCGCCCGUCGCUCCUACCGAUUGAGUGGUCCGGUGAGGCUUCGGGAGAGCUAAAUGGAUUGUGUUUCACAAACUAUUUGGCUUGAACUUAGUCAAACCUUACUACUUAGAGGAAGGAGAAGUCGUAACA